rnacentral:lncRNA from 1 species
GCCAUGAGGUCAAAGGAAUUGUUUGUAAAGCGCCAAGACAGGAUUGUGUGUGGUAUAUGCUAACCUAAUGAGACUGAAGUGCAACUGGCCCCAAGAUAGUCUGAGUUCUGCGCAAUGAACUAACCAUUCAAGUUGUCCAAAACGCUUUAUUUACGUUUUGCAAAGAUAUGGAUGAGUCAACGUCAUUGGAUAUCGAGGCCCUGAAGGAGGACCGCUGUGGAUGCAGGCAUUUGUUCCAAACCAGCACUAGCACAUCAGAUUUGUGUUUUGGCACUAGAUGGGAGCAAAAGCUUGCACACUAUCUGGUAAUCCAUGACCAGGAGUGAAGACCUUGGGCAAUAGAGACAGAAGAAAGUAGUGGGAGAGACUCAAGUCAUUAGUGCUUCUCCAAUGUUUUCUUACCUCCGGCGGAAGAGGCAAGUGGGAUGCCCGUGGCAUCACAGAGAGAGAGAGACCAUGCAGGAGGUGUAGUGGGACGCCCACAGCAUCACGGAGAGAGAGACCAUGCAGGAGGUGUAGUGGGACGCCCACAGCAUCACGGAGAGAG